rnacentral:snRNA from 1 species
GUGCUCACUUCAGCAGCACAUAUACUAAAAUUGGAAUGAUACAGAAAAGAUUAACAUGGCCCCUGCGCAAGGAUGACACGCAAAUUCAUGAAGCGUUCCAUAUUUUU